rnacentral:rRNA from 1 species
CCUACGGGAGGCAGCAGUGGGGAAUAUUGGACAAUGGGGGCAACCCUGAUCCAGCCAUGCCGCGUGUGUGAAGGAGGCCCUCGGGUUGUAAAGCACUUUCAGUGAGGAAGAACGCCUGGUGGUUAAUACCCAUCAGGAAAGACAUCACUCACAGAAGAAGCACCGGCUAACUCCGUGCCAGCAGCCGCGGUAAUACGGAGGGUGCGAGCGUUAAUCGGAAUUACUGGGCGUAAAGCGCGCGUAGGUGGCUUGAUAAGCCGGUUGUGAAAGCCCCGGGCUCAACCUGGGAACGGCAUCCGGAACUGUCAAGCUAGAGUGCAGGAGAGGAAGGUAGAAUUCCCGGUGUAGCGGUGAAAUGCGUAGAGAUCGGGAGGAAUACCAGUGGCGAAGGCGGCCUUCUGGACUGACACUGACACUGAGGUGCGAAAGCGUGGGUAGCAAACAGGAUUAGAUACCCUGGUAGUC